CAGCUAUGUCCACGGUUAACCGUACUUCUUCCAAUAGCUACAAGAAUCCAGGAUUUGAGGAAGAUACUGAUAUUUCAAAGACAAGCGGUACUGCAUUACGAAACAGGAACUUAGAAAGAAGUAACUCCCUUCCACAUGAUGAGCAUGAGACAAACAUUGAUAUUGACAGCGAGCCACAUGGAAGCCAACCUGAAUCAGAAGAAAAUAAGAAUCUUGGGUGCAAGGGG